AAGGAUAAGGAUAACUGUUUUAGGACAGUUUGACUAGGUUGGGCAAGCAUCUUUAAAAACUUGUAUUCUAUUUCUUUUGCAUUGUUAAGCGUUUGUUUCCAAAACAUUCAGUUUACGAUCAAGUAUGUUAUGUAAAUAAUAUGGUAACAAGUAAAUUCACAUAUAAUAAUAGACGUUUAAGAAUAUCUGUCUUUGGUGAAGUUAACUUGCAUGGAUCAAUAAUU
rnacentral:misc_RNA from 1 species